UCACGCUGAAGUACGAUGGUCUACGCCGAAGUGCGAUGGUCCUUUCGCUGAAGUGCGAUGGUUUUGCAUUACGUUUGGACAAUGGAAAGUUUUCAAAUACAACGUUAAUAAAUUAAAUUGCUCCGUGUUGAAGACCUUAUUUUGACCUAUAAUUGUUUAGUUUUACAAAAUGUGACUUGGAUGGAGAAUUGUCUCAUUGGCACUCAUACCACAUCUUAUAUCGAUAUAGGCAGGAGAAUACGAUUUUGUAGAUGAAGGUUUCAUACGUACAAAGGAAAGGAAACCGAAUGAAACGAACGAUUCAAAUACCGAACAGUUUAGAGCAUUAGAGGUGGGGGUUGCAAAAAUAAGUUUAAACUAAAUCGGAAACCAAACCAUUAGGGAAAGGCGACUAAAAGAAUAUCUUGGUCUGCAGGUGUGCUAACCAGUGUUUGCGGAAGGAGGUAUAAUACAUGCCGAAAACGUUUUG
rnacentral:lncRNA from 1 species